rnacentral:rRNA from 1 species
ACAGCAGUAGCCGCGGUAAUACGUAGGGUGCAAGUGUUAAUCGGAAUUACUGGGCGUAAAGCGUGCGCAGGCGGUUCUAUAAGACGGAUGUGAAAUCCCCGGGCUCAACCUGGGAACUGCAUUUGUGACUGUAGAGCUGGAGUGCGGCAGAGGGGGAUGGAAUUCCGCGUGUAGCAGUGAAAUGCGUAGAUAUGCGGAGGAACACCGAUGGCGAAGGCAAUCCCCUGGGCCUGCACUGACGCUCAUGCACGAAAGCGUGGGGAGCAAACAGGAUUAGAUACCCCCGUAGUCCCUGUCUCUUAUAC